rnacentral:misc_RNA from 1 species
GGCAUGGUCAACAGGUGCAGGUCCGAGAAUUGGAUGCAUUAACGACUACCCGGUUGAACUAAGAGAGCAGGCCUUAGAACUGACACACCUCUCACCAAGACCUCGUUCUGCAUCAUCAACUCCUAGGCCGAUUGCUGCAAUGGUAUUGUAAUGCAAUGCACUUCCUGAAAAGCCUUUCGAUCUUUUCUGCAAACAAGCUGUAGUGUUCAUUUUGGUCUGCUGUUUUCCAACCUGUUGUUAGUUCACCUUUUUACUAGCAAGAAUGUAGUAGGACCUCUUGUUCUCAUUGUU